rfam:Erinaceus europaeus unplaced genomic scaffold scaffold00233, whole genome shotgun sequence
GUAGUAUGCCACCUCCCCCUGGCUUCUGCUUAACCAUAUGCCUAUAUAGGGAUUUACUGAUAUAAGCUUUGAAUCAGUAAAUCCCUAUAUAGGCAUAUGGUUAAGCAGAAGCCAGGGGGAGGUGACAUACUAC